rnacentral:rRNA from 1 species
AGUUCGAUCCUGGCUCAGAUUGAACGCUGGCGGAUGCUUUACACAUGCAAGUCGAACGGCAGCACGGACUUCGGUCUGGUGGCGAGUGGCGAACGGGUGAGUAAUGUAUCGGAACGUGCCUAGUAAGGGGGGAUAACUACGCGAAAGCAGUAGCUAAUACCGCAUACGCCCUUCGGGGGAAAGCGGGGACCUUCGGGCCUCGCACUAUUAUGCGGCCGAUAUCGGAUUAGCUAGUUGGUGGGGUAACGGCUCACCAAGGCGACGAUCCGUAGCUGGUUUGAGAGGACGACCAGCCACACUGGGACUGAGGCACGGCCCAGACUCCUACGGGAGGCAGCAGUGGGGAAUUUUGGACAAUGGGGAAACCCUGAUCCAGCCAUCCUGGGCGUGUGCGAUGAAGGCCUUCGGGUUGGGAAGCACUUUUGGCAGGAAAGAAACGGCACGGGAUAAUACCCCGUGCAACUGACGGUACCUGCAGAAUAAGCACCGGCUAACUACGUGCCAGCAGCGCAAAAUACGUAGGGUGCAAGCACCGGAAUUACUGGGCGUAAAGCGUGCGCAGGCGGUUCUGGAAAGAAAGAUGUAAAUCCCAGAGCUUAACUUUGGAACUGCAUUUUCUUAACUACCGAGCCAGAGUGUGUCAGAGGGAGAAUUUCGCGUGUAGUGAAAUGCGUAUAUGCGGAGGAACACCGAUGGCGAAGGCAGCCUCCUGGGAUAACACUGACGCUCAUGCACGAAAGCGUGGGGAGCAAACAGGAUUAGAUACUCCUGUAGUCCACGCCCUAAACGAUGUCAACUAGCUGUUGGGGCCUUCGGGCCCUGGUAGCGCAGCUAACGCGUGAAGUUGACCGCCUGGGGAGUACGUCGCAAGAUUAAAACUCAAAGGAAUUGACGGGGACCCGGCACGGGGCGGUGGAUGAUGCGGGAUUAAUUCGACGCAACGUGGGCGAAAAACCUUACCUACCCUGACAUGUCUGGAAUCCCGAAGAGAUUUGGGAGUGCCUGCAAGAGAACCGGAACACAGGUGCUGCAUGGCUGUCGUCAGCUCGUGUCGUGAGAUGUUGGGUUAAGUCCCGCAAAACGAGCGCAACCCUUGUCAUUAGUUGCUACGAAAGGGCACUCUAAUGAGACUGCCGGUGACAAACCGAGGAAGGUGGGGAUGACGUCAAGUCCUCAUGUCUUAUGGGUAGGGUCACACGUCAUACAAUGGUCGGGACAGAGGGUCGCCAACCCGGCGAGGGGAGCUAAUCCCAGAAACCCGGAUCGUAGUCCGGAUCGCAGUCUGCAACCUCGACUGCGUGAAGUCGGAAUCGCUAGUAAUCGCGGAUCAAAGAUGUCGCGGUGAAUACGUUCCCGGGUCUUGUACACACCGCCCGUCACACCAUGGGAGUGGGUUUUACCAGAAGUAGUUAGCCUAACCGUAAGGAGUGGCGAUUACCACGGUAGGAUUCAUGACUGUGGGGUGAAGUCGUACCAGGCAACUCUGAGCCAUACCCGAUGCCUCAGGAUACAACUGAACGAAGUAUGAC